GUGGGGAAUAUUGGACAAUGGGCGAAAGCCUGAUCCAGCCAUGCCGCGUGUGUGAAGAAGGUCUUCGCAUUGUAAAGCACUUUAAGUUGGGAGGAAGGGCAGUAAGUUAAUACCUUGCUGUUUUGACGUUACCGACAGAAUAAGCACCGGCUAACUUCGUGCCAGCAGCCGCGGUAAUACGAAGGGUGCAAGCGUUAAUAGGAAUUACUGGGCGUAAAGCGCGCGUAGGUGGUUUUGUAAGUUGGAGGUGAAAUCCCCGGGCUCAACCUGGGAACUGCAUCCAAAACUGCAUGACUAGAGUAAGGUAGAGGGUAGUGGAAUUUCCUGUGUAGCGGUGAAAUGCGUAGAUAUAGGAAGGAACACCAGUGGCGAAGGCGACUACCUGGACUGAUACUGACACUGAGGUGCGAAAGCGUGGGGAGCAAACAGGAUUAGAUACCCGGGUAGUCC
rnacentral:rRNA from 1 species